rnacentral:lncRNA from 1 species
UCAAUUAUACUUUUCUAAACCUUGAAAUUUGCAAAAAAGUCAGCCUAGAAAAUAAAGUAUACUUUAAGUAUACUUUUAAAACUUUUAAAAACACAGACAAUCUGGCCUGCAAUUCUGCAAACUUAAUAUCUCUUGACAUCCUUUCAGCACUGAAAUUAAUAUAAUUUAUGUUAUAUAUGUUCAAAAACUAUUCCAAACAACAUUUGAAAUCAGUAGAACACAAUUGUUGAGAAGCAACAGGAACCAUAUUUCUUUCAGAAUGUCUGUAUUUUUAAGUUUUUUUCAUAACUGAUGCAACAUAUAAACAAAAACUUAUACACAUGAAAUGGGAAGCAUGCACACUGAAUUUUAGUACUCCACCCCAGCAUUUCCCAAAUUAUGAUAGGGACUAACCAUUAUACAGCAGGGUAUCAAAUAGAGGUGGUUUACAGCUGAUGUAACAAAUACAAUUAAAUUAUUUUUAAAAGCAUAUACAACAUGCACAUCUUCCUUGAUGGUUUUCUGGAUGAAACUUCUGACACACCAGACAUAAAGAGCAAAUAACAAGAGUUAUUCUUUUCGAAACCAGUGAUAUAAAUUUGGUGUAAAGUAACCGUAUACAGUGUAAUCAUAUAUUCCGAGACAGUAUUUAAAAGGGUUGUUGCAACUACUGUAAAUACAUGUUUAUUAAAACUAUUUUGACUUCUUUUCUAUUUGCACAGCACCACACUUGGAAAUGAAGAAGAAAAUGAACCCUUAUAACUUCUGUGGUUAAAUGAGUUCUCGUUACUAGUUAAAAUAGUAUGUCAUCAUAUUAAUCCCUCUCAUACCUGUUAGGUAGUUUACAAACAUACAUACUCUGGCCACUUUUACAGUCCACUAAGAUGCACAAAGCUGUGAUGCUUGUGACAAGGAAGAUUACAUUUACUGCCAUUCUCUCUCCUAACAGGAGAUCGACUGUGUCGAAUGGCAAACGUAAUAAUUAACAACAUGCUGACUGCCACAGUGAUAGGCGCUCCACUGUAUAAGGGCACGUCUGCAGAUCCCCUAUCUUGCUCAUCUGCUUUUUCGUUACCAGCACUCACAGUCCUCAGAAUCGAAAGCCGUAAGGUAAUCUCCGAUGCCUUCUUGUUCAUCUUCUGCCAGUAUUUCGGCUAGUCCCAAUGGAAAAGCUGCUGCUCGGUCGCGCGUCCUUACCAAUUAACUCCGUGCUGCGGUCGUCCGAGGCCAAAGCAGUAGACGUCGGGUUUUGCGGCCAACGUCUCAAGGUUGUUCGAGGUAUCUUUAAUCCCGGUUGAGAAAGAUACUGGUUGUAAGGUCCAAGCAAAUUACUCUUCUUUAGCUUUUUUGCCGAAUAAGGAUCCUCAAUAUCGUCCGCCAUUUUUUUCUUCCGUCCUCCAGUCACACUCCGCUGACAUCUGGUACAGUGGGCUUGAAUACGGGAUCUUAUACUUUUCCUUCUUUGGUCACAUAUGGGACACGGAUUUUAGUUUUGGCGGGCGAAACGAGCUCGCGAACGAACUUUGCCUAUCGAGCCCUCUCUCGGUGAUCUUGAUGUCGUUGACUCGCAAUCAUAUUCCGUUGGUAUUUUGCCUUUUGUAUUUAGAUCUUGCCUCUGUCUUAUGAAACAGUGAGAGACACAAAGAAAGACAACAGAAGGAAAACAAUGCCAUCAUUCAAGUAUAGUGAAAGAAGAUACUUUCUGGUGCAAUUUCUUGAAGACAACGUUAAAUUUAUCGUCGUCGAUGAAACCGAACUGCAGAGAAAGGAAGACAAAACAACUCAAGCAAUGUAUCUGGACAAAAAGUACUACCCUCGUGUAGUUCUCAGCGAGAGUGAUGAUUGAACUGUCACCAGGAAGAUCUGUUUACAUCUAUGACAGUCAUCUUACGAAAGCAUAUACCAAAAAACGGCAACAGCCUGUUUUCUGCUAGGCUGUUUUUUCAGCGAUGAUGGUGAUCAGAGCUUGUAGGGAGGAGUAUGAUACAGGCAUUCUUGAGAGCAUCUUGAGUAAGUAUAAUAAAUACUUUACAAUACUUAGUAAAUGAUAAGAUGUUUACACUGCAUGAGCCAGUCUUUGAAAGGGCAGCUUAAUGCAGUCAAUUGGGAACGAAUUCUUAACAUUUUGACCAAAAAUUUGUUUCUAAUAACUUCAGAAGCUUUUGUAGAAGUUGUCAAUAAGGUGAUUUGAAGUGUAAGCAUUAACAUACACAGAAACAGUGACAUGUCAAUCAAUGAUCAACAUUUUACUGCUUUUACGUAUAGUACUGUAUGUUGCUUAGACUACAUAAUGCUUUUGUUACCAAUCAGCAUUUACAGUUGUCCACUACAGUAGCUUGUAUGAAACACAGUAUUGAUGAAAAGCCUUUGUUAGUUUCC